rnacentral:lncRNA from 1 species
UAUUAUAGAACUAUAGUGGUUCUUCUCCCCUUCACGUCCACACAUUCAUGCAUGAGUAGUACGUAUCAAUUUUUUUUCUGAACUGUAUACGGUGCACAGUGGAUCACCGAACAGACGAUAUGAUGGACUAAUCAUGUCCGAUCGAAAGGGAAGACUCAUUAACUCACACCUGCAUACACAGAUACAGUACACCACUUAAAACGACCAAAGAUGUUUAUAUAUGACAGGGGUCGGAUAACUUGUCAACGUCCAAAAUUAUUGGAUCGCACUGCAUCUGCAAGGUGUGACAGAAAAUAAAACGAGGAGCCAAUUUGCUGCUCGUCGUGGAGAGAUGAGUCGCGUUCAACGCUGUCGCUUUAUUUCUGUGGGGGAGGAAAGGCUGUACUACCCAACCGACGACCAAGGAAUUUUCCACAGUUUUCCCUGGUACCAGGAAAUCUUCUCAGAUCACUGAAUAUAUGUGGCAAAGGCCUGAAUAGCCUGAUAAAACAAUGGAAGAAAUUAUGACUCAUGAACCAGGCCAUCCAUGAGUCGGUGACAAAUUGCCAUUGCUGCGGCUACAAAUAACGUACUUCUUUCCCAAAGGCUAGGGAAUCGAAUUGUCGAACUGGCAUCUGCAGCUUAUGUCAGGAUAUCCUCAGCUCAAC